rnacentral:rRNA from 1 species
GACGAACGCUGGCGGCGUGCCUAACACAUGCAAGUCGAACGGGACCAGGGGCAACUCUGGUUCAGUGGCGGACGGGUGCGUAACACGUGAGGAACAUGACCUUCGGCGGGGGAUAGCCGGCCCAACGGCCGGGUAAUACCGCGUACGACCUUUCGGGGACAUCCCUGGAUGGUGAAAGCAGCAAUGCGCCGAUGGAGUGCCUCGCGGCCUAUCAGCUAGUUGGUGGGGUAACGGCCUACCAAGGCGACGACGGGUAGCUGGUCUGAGAGGAUGGCCAGCCACAUUGGGACUGAGACACGGCCCAGACUCCUACGGGAGGCAGCAGUGGGGAAUAUUGCGCAAUGGGCGAAAGUCUGACGCAGCGACGCCGCGUGUGGGAUGACGGUCUUCGGAUUGUAAACCACUGUCGGGAGGGACGAAUACGCCGCAAGGCGGGUGACGGUACCUCCAAAGGAAGCACCGGCUAACUCCGUGCCAGCCGCCGCUGUAAUAC